CAGUCACUCUCCAUCAGCAUAGUAAGAUGCUGUAGAGUCACUACCUGUCUCCUGUGAACCAGCACUGAUUUUUUAUUAAAUAAUAUUUUUCAAAAUUGAUUCAUUUUUGUAAAUUCAAAGUCACCAGGACUAGAUGCUAAGGUCUUUCUAUACCCAUGCCCCCUCCCUUCCCUGACACAUACACACACAGAAGCCCCUUUUAGGUAAAGAUACCCAUUACAGCAAUGGGCCAGGGGUAACAGGUGGUGAGUUUUGAGUUUAUUAUCUCUGUUUUUAAUAUAAUUUAUUUAGUUUUAAGGGUAUAUAAUUUAAUCGUUAAUGAUAUUUGUGUUUAACAACCUGUAUGCAAAAUUCCUACAAAUGUAGCCAUUGGUUUUUACAAGCCAGUAGAGCUGCUCCGGCACAUCACCGCCAAGAGUUGGAGGAGCGGGAAUUCACACGUGCCCUGUGACUCCUGGUUGAUCGCUCUGCUGCCACUUCCACCUUCUUUGCUGUGGGCGUAUUUGGUUCAUUUCUCUGCUUUGCCUAUGGAGGCAGCUCAUCUCCACUCAUUUUUCCAGCUCCCUGUUGCAGAUCCUCUCCUCUCCUGGUUCUCAGACUUACCUGCUGGCCCAUGUCACCAGCUCUGUGAUCCUCUCACUAUGAAGUCUUGUCUACAAGAACACCCAGGCUGAAUAGAGAAAAGCCAAAGAAACCAAGUCAUUAGGGCUCUGACUUGAAGCAGAAUCUUCAGGAGCUGAUUCAAGGUCGCAGGACCCGACCCUAGGAAAGCACAUGCCGUCAUAGAGGAGGACCCGUCCUCUCCCUUCCCCUCCGUUCUCAUCUGAUAAGAGAGCGAGCAGCAGUAAGACUCCUCAUCUAUCUUAUGAAAAUCCGAUUCGGAAUGGCUGUGAUCAAAACCAGCUGGCUGUCACCAGCAGUGGCCUUGUGAGGAGGGAACUGCUCAGAAGCAUCCCGUAUGUGGGGGUGUCACGGGUGGUACCGAUCAAAGUAGCAUUUUUUUAAUAAAUAUAUAUAAGGAAAAUACAAAACCUAAGGAUUUAGAAUAAAAGCAGUGUAGUUUGUCUUGUUUUUUUUUUCAGUAUAACACAAAGAGGAUGAAAUAGAAUCAGAUGCGCCUGAUUGCUAACACACGCAUACUGGCGCCUCUGAGAAGGUGCUCGCUGUCACAUUAACACUGCAUCACUCAUCUUGGGCCUUAUUGAAGAGAGUAGAGAGUUCCUCAGUUUCUGUUCCUUCCGGCUACUGCAUUCCUCUUCACUUUUAAAGUCCUUUACCCCUCUUUGUCCCUAACACAUCUCCGUAGAUCAAAGCCGGACCCACCGUGAAGCUCGGAGAGAGCAAGUGGAGUGGCAGAGAACCUUCCUACUCAUUGUUCUUCAUUUCCUUCAGUUGUCAGUAGCCAGUGUUUUGAUGUUCCCUAGAGGGCACCUCAGUGGGUGACGUCCUUCCAGUGUCAGGCUCCUGGGCUGAAUGGGAUCUUUAUAGAGAAUUCUUGUUGGGCCAAGCUUGUCUUGAGACUACCACCUUUGAGUUCCUCGAAAGGCCUGGUCCUGGUUGACCACCCUUUGCAUUGCUGAUACUGAUUCCCGUACAGCACUCCGGGGACUUGGGUGGGGUGGUAGGAAAGAGCUCCUUCUGAAGUGUUGCAUUCAUGGCUCCUUCAGCAAUGUCCUAACAUGCCCCUGUGGUUGUAAUAUAAUGGGGUCACAUGCCAUAAUAUACCACAAGCUAGGUUGCCCCUCUUAUUCUGUGCUCAUGAUCCAGCCAGCACCACACUGUGCUAAGGCCUGAUUAUCUCAGAAACUGAAGUCAGUCCAAACCUUCCUCUCCAAACCAUCAUCAACCAGGAGGGUCAUCACAAGUUGGGGGACUGUGAGGACAGUCAACUAUUUUGGUCCCUCCUUAAGGUCUGUGAUCUCUCCCCAGCAGCAUUAGGAGAGAUUCUGUUUGGCAGGAGCAUGGAGGCAUUUCAAUACAGAGGCAUAUGGGACACAGAUGAACCCCCCACCCCACCACAUGCUUCCUCGGGGACCUGCUCACACACAGCUCUGGGGUGCACACUUGCUGUGCGGCACGUUGGGCCAAAUGCCUUGCUUGUGGUCUGUCCUGUUUCUCAGUCUUUGCAGUGUGGGUCUCGAGCCAACAUCGCCGUUUUCAGACUCUUCUCCCAUGUCUGUUUCCUCCCUUGUCAGUAAUGAGUAUAGGUGGGACCCGACUUCAAUCAGGUGAAAUCACAAGGCCUGAGUCUUCGAAGGCGGGCCUGCCAGGGACCUGCCAAAGUGUUUUUGCACCUUGAACCCUGACUCCAGGAAUGCAGGAGACCCACAGUGCUGGGCCCAGGCUUGCUGGGGAGCUCCUCUGAGACCGCUCUCUCUCCUGUUCAUUCGGGUGUUUGAAGCCUGUUGCCUCCUGCUUUCCCUUUUUCUUCUCCCUUUUAAAGAAUUCUCAAUUUUUUUCACUUAGAAAAAAAAUUAUUUAUACGAUUGAGAUCCACUAAUUAAAGCCGUUUUCUGGUAUUUGGUUACUGGAGCGUUUGAUGUCUCUCUGACAAGACCAUGAAAUGCAUGGAGUGUCCACAGGGACAGAAUUUGCUGAGCAUGGCUCUUUGUAAAUGAGGGGACACAGUGUCGCAGCAGCUCAUGAAUAUGAAACGCCCGUGAUGCCACCUCAGUGGACUUGGGAACACAGAUGAAUCCUGUCAUGUGCUAAAUGAGACCAAUUUCUUUCACUUAACUUCAUCUUCAAUCAGACCUUCUUCCAUUUGCCUGUUUAAAAUUCCCCAUACAUGAUGCCGAAGGUAACAGCAUUCAGUAAAACAAAGUUUUCCAGCUGCAGAGAGAAAUUACAAUGAUCUGAUUUAAAGUCGCCAUCUCCUAAAAACAUGGAUGUUAUUUCCUUUCUCUCACAAGCUCUGCUGAGGUCUGUUGGCUUUGGGCAUGAAAAUAGGUGCCCAGUAAAAGCAGUCUGGACUGCUUUUACUGGGGUCCCCUUAAGCAGUAGGUCCAGAUCCCUUUGAUGUGGAUUGGUUAAUGAUCGUGGCUAUGAAUGGCAGAUGUGAGACCUUAAGGGCCUGUGGAUGCUCUGCGGUGGCCAGACCCUGAGUGGGAAAGCAUCUGGGCAGAGAGUGUGUGUAACCAAGCAGGGCCUUUGCCAUCAGGAGCUCAGUUAGUGGAUGAAGUGAGAGGGACAGAUGUCGUCAGUAAGCCCCAGAGGAACCUGGCAAGUCAGGCCAACCACUUGUAUCAUUUCCUAACGUGAGAAAGUGCUGGAGUAAAGAAAAGGCUCUAUGUAGCUCUCUGGAAACCCUGGAUACAACCAGAAAAUUCCACUCAGAAAUCCCCAACCAAGGAAAUUAGCAAAGAGUAGAACCUAAAGGGGCACAGAGAGGAAGGCCUCCCCAUGGGGCCAGGGGCUAGAUCGGAGUGCCUGUUUCAUUCUCUCCUUCCUAUAGGAUGUAGAUUUACGCUCCAGGAGAAGAGACUGUGUGGUGCUCCGAGUGUACUCAUUUCAAACAGCCCAGUCUGAGAAAUCCCCUUCUGUUUUAGUUAUGCCCAAACUGGCAAACAACAGCUAGAUUUGAAUGCCGGCUGCUGAACAGCAGUGUGACCCAGCCUCAGGAUGGAAGCCCAGUGGUCCAUGGGGCCAAAUUUGAAUGACUUUUCCUCUGUGACUCUGUCCCCACUCAUCCACUGUUCCUCAUAUAUGCACAGGCCCUUUCCAGCAGGCCCUGCAGCUCUCAAGUGAGGCAAAGCCUUUACUCUGAUGUUAUUAAAUCCAGGAAGCAUCUGAGGACUACGCUUGGUGGUUCUUGUGGAAUGAAUCCUACUAAGGCCCCUGUAGGACUCAGUAGUGCUGAUCCCGUAAUUGGAACGAUACAGAGAAGGUUGGCAUGGCUCUGCCACGUGUGUUACCUUCCAGGCUGAGGGGCAUCUGUUGAUCGGGUUCUGUUCGGUGUUCCUUCAGUUUGCCAGUCCUUGGGAAUGCAGAAGCCCUGGCUUGUGCUCUUCGCUCUCGGUUAGUUCAGCGUCCAGGGGGCAGACUCUCCCCACUGAAGGCGGUGAGCUUACCCUGUGGCCUUGCAGAAAAUAUUAUGGAAAGGUGAAGAAGAGUGUUCUGAAUUCUGCCCGUUGGAUUCUGAGCUGCCUCACAAAGGAAGGGAUGUGCAUUUUCCUUACUUUGCUCAUUUAUGAUUAUUUUUUAAUAUAUAAACUCUCCCUUUGCAAUCCGCCACCCUAUCCGUCUUGGUUUUCCUCUAAUGUGCCUCAGAAGGGGUCUUGUGAAUAGAAGACACUCAGCCGCUGACUUCCAGUGGGUUGAUUCAGGUCCUUCCUCACCUGGUACCAGGUACCCUCUUCCCCACCUAACCCCUUGCUCCUGGGCCCUCCGUGCCAACCAUACUGGUGCUCCAUGAAGACAAGGACCAUGCGUUUUAUUUGUUGCUGUUACUGGCCCCAGUUGGUACAGUACUUUACCCAUCAUAGGUGCUCAAUCAUUAUUCCUUGAAUGAAUGAAUAAAUGAAGGAAGGAAUGAACAAACAAAGGAACAAACAUAGGUUCCCCACCAUGUGGCAGCAGAACGACACUCAGCGGACAAGCAGGUUGAGCAGCACAUGAGGUGGCUCACAAGAGAGGCACGGAGCAAGUGCAAAGAGCCAGGAAAACCUUUUGAAGGAGCUGGAGCUGGGAGAGAGCAGUGGAUGUCUGCGUGGGGAUGGUGGUCUUCAUCCGGAAAAUGGGCAGGAGUAAAUGAGAAAAAGAAGGUAGAGCCACAUAGCUUCUCCCCAUGGUCAGUAUUAUAUCUGUGUAAUGAAUAAAAAUAGUCAUAGGCCAUUAUGUAGUGAACAUAGUGCUUAAUAUUUUAUAAAGACUAUUGCAUUUAAUGCUUGCAACAACUGUAUAUGAGGUGGUUAUAAUUAUCCCCAUUUUACACAUGAAGAAAUUGAGGCACAGAGAGAAUAGUCACACAACUGGUACAUGGGGGAACCAGGAUUUGAAGCCAGUCAUUCUGCUUCCCAAUCUUGUGUUCUUAAGCCCUGGGCAGGAGUCCUACCCACGUUCUUAACUAACUCAUUGUUUCUGUUAACAUUCUUCUUAGCGGCAUGGAAGAAAAUGAGAAUAAAGUUCACGUAGCUAUUGAGUUUUUUUUAAAAUAGUGGUAGCUUUUCAGCAGUACUAGAGUGACCUUUGCUCCCCUUAUUUUCUCUGUUAAGAUUGUAUACUUUUGAAUGUCAAACUUGACACCCUGAGUCAGGCUGGGCCCCUGUCCAGACUUGCAGGGCAAGUAGUUGUCACUGGUUUGAGGCACGGCCAGAUCAUCCCGUGGAGGUAAUUUUGUGAAGAAGUAGAUUUUUCCAAGUCCAUUUUCUUUUUCUAGGUUUGUUUGUGGUGUGUAUGGUGUGUAUGGUGUGUGUGUGUGUGUGAGGGUGAGAGAGGGAGGGAAGGAGAGAAAAGAGAACAAAAAUUCCCAAGAACACAUUAUAUAUACAUAGGCAAGCACUUGUCUGUGUUUGUAAAUCACAAACUGUAAAAUUGUGAAGUUCUUUGAAGUUUGCCCCAAACCUGCUCCAUGGCCACCUGUUCCACUGAGGGCUGGAGUUGGAUGGCCUGACUGUGCUGUGAUGGCUCAAGCUGUCACUACACCGGAAUGUUCCAGCCUGCCUGGGCCUGGCUGUCAUCUCUGGCUCUGUCCCACUCAGGCAGUUCACGGGUUCUGUUGGGCACAGGGCUUCCAAUUAGAGAGAAAUCCCACUGUGUGGCCAGCCCCACCAGUGCCGCGCUGAGAGGCGCCUUUGCCAAGGCCCGAACUGACCUCUGAUCUGUCACAGAUGGGCCAGCCCCACACUCCCCUGUGCGCAUUUGGAGGAGGGGGUGUGGAUGAAGAGGGAAGCCUGUGGGGAGGGAGAGUAGACAUUGGGCAGAAGUGCAGUUCCUCAGAGCCUGGGAGAGGCAGGGCAGAAUUGACAGGACCCAAAUGCUAAUGUUGUGGAGGGAAAGGGGACUUGGGGAAGACCCCAUCCUGAGCCCUGAACUCAGCAUGGGGCAUUGUCUUACCAACUUCUGAAUAUUCAUCUCAGGCUGGACUCCACGCCCGCCUGAGGAGAGCCAGGAGCAGCUAACUGUCACAGUGCUGAUGGCACAUGGCACAGCCAGCUUCCUGCCUGCCCUGCACAGGCUCCUUGCAGCCUCAUCAGCCUGGGAGGCCUGCUUGCCCUGGGCUCCGGUGCUGUUGCAGCCCUCACUAUGAAUUGUGUUAGUCACAUAGAGCAAGAGUGAACAAGAAAGCUGAAUCUCUAUUAUCCUGAGAAAUAGAAUCUUGGAGAACUCCAGCUCUAAUUAUCCAGCAGGACAGGGAGUAUAAUCUCAGCUCUGAACGGCCUCUUUCUAGAUGACUUGCUGAUGUGGUUUGUAGGGUGGCUUGUGUGUCCUUUAUUUCACUUCUCAGCCAUUUCUUUAAUUUUUAACCCUUUUCAUUCUUUUAAUCACUCCUCCUCUGCCUGUCUCCUUCUCUCUCUGUCCUCUUUCGGGAUCUCUGUCUCUCCCUUGAGUACUUUCUCUCUUCCCAGGUACAGCAUCUGUAACCCAACAGUUUGAAGCAAUAAUAAAGGCACUAGGCUUGGAAGGGACAUUUAUAUACUCGGGCUUAGCUUGACUAGAGCAGGCACCAAGUCCAAGUUACGAAUAGCCUGAAGUGGCAAGGGUCUUCCCAGCUGUUCUGAAAUGACUCUGGGUUUCUUUUAAAAAUAAAACUGAAUUCAGUCCAUGGAAGCAAAUACAAAGGAUGUCUUCACUCCUCUCUGGGAUUUUCCCUUCUCCGUGUGUUUACAGUGGUUUUGGAAUCCCAGGACUGCCUCCCACUCGGCCUGCCCCACCCCUUUUUUGACUCUGACAGAUUAAAUGAACAAAACUCCUCAGCCUGUCAGUGAUGCUCAUUUGGAAAAGGAAAUACUUCUUUAGGUUGUUAGAUUGUCCCAGUGAGGAGAUGGACUGUUUUUGGUAUCUUAAACUAGUUGCCACAAUUAAAAUUGCUGUCUCUUAGUUUCUCCAUUUGCAUGACUUUCUUAGACUGGUGAAAGCAAUUGCCUCAUGUCUCUUUAUAUGUCCGAAUGUGUGUCUCACAUGGAGAGUUCACACAAGGAAAAUCUCCAUGAGAUAGCAAAAAAUGUGUCAUUUCAGAUUGGGUAUCUUCUUUUAUACUGAACCUGGCCGUGGGGACUCCGAGCCAAGGGACACUGAUAUGAGCCAGGUCAUAUCAGUAGGUAUAAACUGUCCUUAAGAUGCAGGCUCAGGGCCAUGAGACAGAUGGCUGCAAAGACUAGGAGGAGCUAAUGUUCAUGUGGACCAUGGACGUGAAGAGGUACAUGCGUGGCAACACCCACCUCGUGACACUGCUUUCUCAGCUCCUUCUGUCUCUUACCAUGCCAGGCUCACGCAUCAGUUCCUCUGACACUUCCCCAGGUGCUAUCUGGGACUCUUCUCAUUUCCUUACAUUUCUCCUUAGAUAUCCACUCCAAUGGCUCCUAACCUGGAGCAUACUUUGGGAUCACCCAAGGAAUCUUAGGGAAAAGUACAGAUGCCUGAGCCCCACCCAGGAGGUUCUAAUCCAGCAGGUGCCUGGGGUAAAGACUGGGAUUCAGAAAUUGUUGAAGUUCUAUGUUUGUUUCUAAUGUGCACCUGUAGUUCACCCCACAGCCUAGACUGUCAGCCCACGGAUGCCAGAGACUGUGUUGGAGAGUCCAUCCUAGCCCCAGCCUGCAGCCCCACGGCAGGCCUGUUGAAGGUGAUGAGCAGUAAUGGAAAUGCAGGCAAGAUCCCCAUUCAUUCUGUGACCGCUUUGCUGCCUCCUCUCA